UAGAUACCGCUGUGGGCUUCUGCGUGAGAGCAGAUCUCCAUGAAACUGCUGGAGAUCAAAGACAGCGGUGCUGGGCUGAGCACGGUGAGCUCAGAGGACUGUUUGCAAUCCAUCCAGCCAAAGAGCUGCUGCUGAUCACCCCACCCUUGUCCAGGAGCCUUCUGAUCCACAGUGCUCCUCCAGGUAAGCGGGCAGAGGCCACGCACAGAGCACAUCUCCUGGAUCCCAGCGGGGACACGGGGCACCACAUCUGGAGGUGAAGCGCACUCCGAGAUCACGUCUGAAAUAUUUUCUUACCACCGAGACCAAAACCACCACAAAAAAAGAGCAAUUAUGGCAUUCUUCCACCAUAAUUCAGCAGGUUUCAUCCCCAGCAAAAAGAAAGAAGAGCAAAGAGAGACCGAAUGCUCCUAAGCAAGGCACAGCUUCUGCGAGUGUCACCAUCCCUGGAGGCGUCCAAGGAAAGGGUGGGCGUCACACUGAGUGACAUUGCCUGGAGCGGCCACAGGCCUGAGCUGCUGGUUGGAGGUUGGCUGUGAUGACCUUAGGGGCCUUUCCAACCUUAAUGAUGCUAUUCUACUCUGUCCUGUUCUGUUCUGCUUCCAUCCAGCUAGUAUCUUCCAAUGGAGCAGAUUGAGUGGUUGAAGAUCUCCUCAACCUGCAGCUCUUUCCAUCUCGGUUUCUGGCUGAUAUCCUGGCAGUCCUGCAGCCAGAGCUGAGGUCUGAUCCAAGACGUGGGUGGAAGACGUGCCCGGGGGGCAGAAGAUGUGUCCCACGAUCUGCUCGAGAGCUCUGCUCAGCCAAUGCCCCAGCAAGAUGAGCACCAAGCCAGCAAUCACCUGCAAAGUGCGCAGCUAUUCCUUUGCAAACCUGAGCACAACAGCUUGCAGAUGCCUUCAAAAUCCCAUCCGGAGACCCAUCGCUGCCUGGGCAGCCAGCCCUGCUCUGCAGGCAUGAGCAUGAGCACAGGAGCCAGAAAACAGAGCACUGAAGCCACACGAGGCGUCGUGAGCUGCCAGGCAGCCCGGGCUCAGUCCCAGCUCUGCACAGCCAGGCUGGGGAGAUGCUCCGGAGGAAGACGAGGGUCUCCUGCUGAGCACUGUGACACUAUGCUAAAGUGUUUGGAGAGAGCUUCCUUCCCAGCCCAGGCAGCUAAUGGCUGCUUUAUGUCCUGAAGCGUGAGGGCUUAGGUCCCCUGCAGAUUUUUAUCCCAUUUAAUGUAACUGUAGAUAUCCUCUGUAUUCAUAUAAAUGAAUAAUCCUUUCGGAAUCCUUCUAAGCACUUUGCUUUAGCAGGCUGGAUAUUAUUAAUCAUAAUGCUCUGCGCUUAGACGGCAUCUUACCUAUUCACAGCACUGAGCAACCACAGGGUAAUUAACCCUCUCCAUGCCGCGGGAGGUAAUUAUCACCUUGGUGCCCGUAAUGGUGAUAGUGUCAGCAGAAGUGACUGUGAAUGGGGAUCUGGGGCCAACACUGCCUCUAAC
ensembl:lncRNA